GUUUAUGAUGAGAAUACGUCCUUAGUGACAUUGCUAUAAACCCAGCUCUUCGAUUUAUUUUAUAAACAGGAGAAGAAGAUUUGUCAAACGCUCUGAUU
rnacentral:snoRNA from 1 species